GGCUGGGAGGACGAUCUGGCUCUAACACGUGUCACUCCAUUAAUCCCCAGGGUUGAUUUGGCUGAUGUAGCUGGCUAGGCGGGUGUUCUCUUCCUCCCUCACCACUCCAUGUGCGACCCUCCUGAAGCUAUGUGCUUGGUUGAAGAAGAUGACCAACCCCAUCCCUGAUAGAAGAGGACAGUUUCUUCAGUCAAGGGUAUAUGAGCAGCUGCACUCUCCUGCUAGACCCUUCACACAAGCUCUGAAAAAUACCAUAAACUAGCUGGGUCAAGCAACAAAAAUGUAACCAGGUGUGGUGGUACACACCU
rnacentral:snRNA from 1 species